rnacentral:rRNA from 1 species
AACGAACGCUGGCGGCAUGCCUAACACAUGCAAGUCGAACGAGACCUUCGGGUCUAGUGGCGCACGGGUGCGCAACGCGUGGGAACCUGCCCUUAGGUUCGGAAUAACUCCCCGAAAGGGGUGCUAAUACCGGAUAAUGUCUUCGGACCAAAGAUUUAUCGCCUUUGGAUGGGCCCGCGUUGGAUUAGCUAGUUGGUAGGGUAAAAGCCUACCAAGGCGACGAUCCAUAGCUGGUCUGAGAGGAUGAUCAGCCACACUGGGACUGAGACACGGCCCAGACUCCUACGGGAGGCAGCAGUGGGGAAUAUUGGACAAUGGGCGAAAGCCUGAUCCAGCAAUGCCGCGUGAGUGAUGAAGGCCUUAGGGUUGUAAAGCUCGUUUACCCGGGAUGAUAAUGACAGUACCGGGAGAAUAAGCGCCGGCUAACUCCGUG